rnacentral:rRNA from 1 species
GAUCAUGGGCUCAGGAUGAACGCUGGCGGCGUGCCUAACACAUGCAAGUCGAACGGACUUUUCAUGAAGCCUAGCGAUUGAAAAGUUAGUGGCGGACGGUUGAGUAACGCGUGGGUAACCUGCCUUGUACUGGGGGACAACAGUUGGAAACGACUGCUAAUACCGCAUAAGCGCACAGCUUCGCAUGAAGCAGUGUGAAAAAACUCCGGUGGUACAAGAUGGACCCGCGUCUGAUUAG